GAGAGACAGUAGAGAGAGAGAGACAGUAGAGAGAGAGAGAGAGAGAGAGAGAGAGAGAGAGAGAGAGACAGAGAGAGAGACAGUAGAGAGAGAGAGAGAGAGAGAGAGAGAGAGAGACAUUAGAGAGAGAGAGCGAGACAGUAGAGUGAGAGAGACAGUAGAGAGAGACAAGAGAGAGAGAGAGAGAAGAGAGAGAGAGAGAGACAGUAGAGUGAGAGAGACAGUAGAGAGAGACAGUAGAGAGAGAGAGAGACAGUAGAGAGAGAGACAGUAGAGACAGUAGAGAGAGA
rnacentral:lncRNA from 1 species